GAUGAAGAACGCAGCGAAAUGCGAUAAGUAGUGUGAAUUGCAGAAUUCAGUGAAUCAUCGAAUCUUUGAACGCACAUUGCGCCCCUUGGUAUUCCAUGGGGCAUGCCUGUUCGAGCGUCAUUUGUACCUUCAAGCUCUGCUUGGUGUUGGGUGUUUGUCUCGCCUCUGCGUGUAGACUCGCCUCAAAACAAUUGGCAGCCGGCGUAUUGAUUUCGGAGCGCAGUACAUCUCGCGCUUUGCACUCAUAACGACGACGUCCAAAAGUACAUUUUUACACUCUUGACCUCGGAUCAGGUAGGGAUACCCGCUGAAAUUAAGCAUAUCAAUAAGCGGAGGA
rnacentral:misc_RNA from 1 species